rnacentral:rRNA from 1 species
CCUACGGGGUGCAGCAGUGGGGAAUAUUGGACAAUGGGCGAAAGCCUGAUCCAGCCAUGCCGCGUGUGUGAAGAAGGCCUUCGGGUUGUAAAGCACUUUCAGUGGGGAAGAAAGCCUUGGGGCUAAUACCCUCGAGGAAGGACAUCACCCACAGAAGAAGCACCGGCUAACUCCGGCCAGCAGCCGCGGUAAUACGGAGGGUGCGAGCGUUAAUCGGAAUUACUGGGCGUAAAGCGCGCGUAGGCGGUCUGAUAAGCCGGUUGUGAAAGCCCCGGGCUCAACCUGGGAACGGCAUCCGGAACUGUCAGGCUAGAGUGCAGGAGAGGAAGGUAGAAUUCCCGGUGUAGCGGUGAAAUGCGUAGAGAUCGGGAGGAAUACCAGUGGCGAAGGCGGCCUUCUGGACUGACACUGACGCUGAGGUGCGAAAGCGUGGGUAGCAAACAGGAUUAGAUACCCUGGUAGUC